UACGAACCGUCCAAACGUUAUUCGGAUUUAUUGGGCUUAAAGGGUAUGUAGGCGGCCCUUCAAGUCGGGUGUGAAAGCCCUCGGCUCAACCGAGGAACUGCGCCCGAUACUGCAGGGCUUGAGGGAGACAGAGGUAAGCGGAACUGAUGGUGGAGCGGUGAAAUGCGUUGAUAUCAUCAGGAACACCAGUGGCGAAAGCGGCUUACUGGGUCUCUUCUGACGCUGAGAUACGAAAGCUAGGGGAGCGAACGGG
rnacentral:rRNA from 1 species